AGAGUUUGAUUCUGGCUCAGGAUGAACGCUGGCGGCGUGCUUAACACAUGCAAGUCGAACGGGAAUUACUUUAUUGAAACUUCGGUCGAUAUGAUUUAAUUCUAGUGGCGGACGGGUGAGUAACGCGUGGGUAACCUGCCUUAUACAGGGGGAUAACAGUCAGAAAUGACUGCUAAUACCGCAUAAGCGCACAGGACCGCAUGGUCCGGUGUGAAAAACUCCGGUGGUAUAAGAUGGACCCGCGUUGGAUUAGCUAGUUGGUGAGGUAACGGCCCACCAAGGCGACGAUCCAUAGCCGGCCUGAGAGGGUGAACGGCCACAUUGGGACUGAGACACGGCCCAG
rnacentral:rRNA from 1 species